CCUACGGGAGGCAGCAGUGAGGAAUAUUGGUCAAUGGGCGAAAGUCUGAACCAGCCAAGUAGCGUGAAGGAUGACUGCCCUAUGGGUUGUAAACUUCUUUUAUAUGGGAAUAAAACGUUCCACGUGUGGGAUUUUGUAUGUACCAUAUGAAUAAGGAUCGGCUAACUCCGUGCCAGCAGCCGCGGUAAUACGGAGGAUCCGAGCGUUAUCCGGAUUUAUUGGGUUUAAAGGGUGCGUAGGUGGAUUUUUAAGUCAGUUGUGAAAGUUUGUGGCUCAACCGUAAAAUUGCAGUUGAAACUGGCAGUCUUGAGUACAGUAGAGGCGGGCGGAAUUCGUGGUGUAGCGGUGAAAUGCUUAGAUAUCACGAAGAACCCCGAUUGCGAAGGCAGUCCACUGGACUGUAACUGACACUGAGGCUCGAAAGCGUGGGGAUCAAACAGGAUUAGAUACCCUUGUAGUC
rnacentral:rRNA from 1 species